AUCAAAAUGUUUCCAAACAUACUUCACUAUUUUCAAUGUAAAAGUAUGUAGUGUGUUUCUUCAUUGCUGUAAUUGAAUCUUCUGUAUCAUAAUUCUUACAUAAUAACCACUUUAAGCUUUUAGCGGACUCAUCUAUCUAUUAUUCAUAAUUAAACAUUUGAAUAAUUAUUGUCUAAGUUUAUUAUCUCAAGAUAAUAAUAAUCAACAAAAUUAAAUAUUUUAUGAAUGUCAUAAGCAUAUAGUCAAAGAAUUUGAUUUUUAUGCAAUUAUACUAUCCGCCUAGACAUUUAGUUAAAUGCCUAGUUCAAGUCAGGAAAAUAAUAAAAAUGAAACAUUUUGUAUUAUUUAAAAAAUUUAACAAUAUUUUCUAUUAAUUAUUUAUUGCUAUUUAUAAAAAUAUAGAAAGAAACUAUGUAUUAUUAUUUAUUUAUUAAUAUGUAAAACACAUAGGAAUAUGAAAUAUGUUUAGUUUCAUGUCCAUCGGUACCAUUAUUUUAAAAUUUAAAUUGUGAAGGGACAUACCUAACCUAGGGGUAGCCAAACUUUUUUAGUCACGAUCUACUAAAACUACACAUGACGUGUAACUACUUUACUUAAUACUGUAAUAAUUAGUCUCAAUUAUAUAAUUUGUAACACUAAUAAAUUGAAAUUGGUGGAAAUAUUAAAUUUUUUUUAUUUAUUGCUUAUAAUUUAGAUGUCCAAAACAUUCAAAAUAUAUAAUUCCAAAUUAUUAGGUUGUUAUUGAAAAAAACUAUUGUCAAACAAAAAUAAACAGUUAACUUAUACAAACUUAAAUACUUAAAAAAUAAAGAUAAUUGAAAUCAUUGCCCUAGUGGUUUAAAUUAGUAAAAUUAUAUUCAUACUUAGUACUUACUAUUGCUUUCAUCCAUAAAGCCGAUUUCCUCAUGUGAAUUUUUAGUAUUGAUUAUUAAAAUUUUUAAUUAUUGAGGUUAUUUGUCUAAAGUCUUGCUAAAAGCUCUAAUAAAGAAAAAAAGUGAAUUAUACAAGUAAAAGCCAACUUAAUAACUGAAUUUCCACAAAAGUAUUGUAUACUGAAAUAUUUAUUGUAUUGAAAAUAUUUUAUAUUAUAUUUUAAGUCAACACUGAUGAGCCCUUUCAAAAUGUUGGACCAUAUUUUUGGGCGGCCGUAAGAAGCUAUGUAUUUCCUUAUCAGUUUCCAUUCCGAUUUAAUCUAUUCUGUGAACUAGGUAUCAUUAUUUAUUCACAUCACAUAUUAUUGUGUAUAUUAUUUUUUUAUAUACGUUUAUAAAAUGUGUGAAAUUUAUUACAAUUUUAAAUUUUCUUUAAUUUCACUGGCCUAACAACUCAUUUAUUAUUACUAUUUUAAUUGUUUGUCAAAUAUUUAUUUUUUUAUUAUAAUUUUUGUACCAGAACUAUUUGUAAAUAUAGUUCAAUUGCGGCUUUAAUUUAAUAUUAAAUAGCUGAAGACAAUAUGGAUUCACAAGCAAAUUUACCGAAUUCAUUAAUUAAAUCCAAAGAUCCACCAUGUUUUGAAAAGCACUUAAAAUCAGAAGAAGAAAUUCAGCGUUUGACAGCACUGAAAAAUACUCUUAUUAAUAGAAAACAUUUAUUGAAUAAGCAGUUACUACAGUUACAAUCAAAUUCUGAUUCAAAAGAUACCAGUGAAUGUACCAUAAGAAUAUAAGAUUAGUGAUCUAAGAAAAAAAUACAAAGUAUAAAAGUUAAUAUUUUUUUUACAAAUAUAAUGAUUAAUAAUUAUUGAAUUCCUAUUAUUGUAUUGUUUUGUAAUUUUUUUUUUAUUUGUAUUAUUCAUCAAUUGUUUUUUGACAAUAUUUUGUUAUUGAUUUUUGGUAUACUUCUAAAUCUAUGACUGAAUGGGAGACAUUUUAUUAAAAUAAUUAAAAUAAUUAAGAAAUACAUUUUUUUUUUACACUGGCUGUGCCAUACGUCAUUUUUCUUUUUUUAGCAAUACUUAAAGAACUUAUACUGUAUCCACGAAUUGUAAAAAAAUAUUUUAUUAAUAAGAACUUUGUGUUACAGUUUUUGGUGGUAGUACAAAUUGGAAUAUUAAUCUGUAUUUCAGAAAAUAUCUUGUCUAUUAAGAAUUUUGUAGAAUUAUGCAAAAUAAAUGAUCUAUGUUCCCUAUAAAUUACUUCACAAUUUAAAAUUAAUUCAAUUACAGACAAAGAAGGAUGUGCAAGACCUCCUUUGUCCAUAGAUUCUGUAAAGUAUUUCAUUUCUAAAUUUACACAACAUUCCUCGGAAGACAUAACAACCAGUGUAUAACAUGAUUCACAACAAUUCUUUUCUAUAUAAUGUAUUGCACUUCCACUUAAAAAAUAUAAAUUGUUCAAAUCUGAUGAAUCAAAAUAAGAUAUUAGGGUAUUGAAAUUUUUAGUUUUAAAUAUAAAGUCUGAGAAAUUUGUUUGGAAAUUUGUAAGAGAUAAUUGAUUUUGAGUAUUAUAUACAUUUUGGUUUUUUUUCUGAAAGAAAUCUAAUAAGAAGUAAUCACUAUCAUUUGCAUAGUUGCUACGAUCAAUAUCGGAUAGAUACUGUGAAACAGAAAUCCCUUUUAAAGCUUGAAGACACUGAUUGGAAGUUGGAGUUCUACCAGCUUUUAGACGAAUAUUAGAAAAUAUAUUUUCGAGUGCAUCUUGAGUAAAACGAUGUCCCAGUACAAAGUCAUAAUUAAACUUUAGAAAUAAUGUUUCACAUAUAUCAAUGAAAGAUUAAGUUGCCAUAAUAAUACCAGUAUUCAAAGGUUUCCAACCUUUAUCAAAUUGAGUCUCUUCAAUAAGAUUUAUAAUAUUUUCUAAAAAGAUGUACUUUGUUUCUUUAUUGUUUUUGGUGAUACUGGUUUUUCGUUCUUUACUGGAUAAUAAAGAAAACCAUUCAUGAAAUGUGCGAAUAAAAUGUGCAGUACUCAAUGCAUCUUUAUGCAACACAUUAUUUUUAACAGCUGUUUCUAAAGCCGAUGCUGUUCUAAUGGAAAAGAAAUGAAUAGCAGCAGAAACAUUCAUUUUUUGAAAAUUGUCUGGAAAUAAGAAUUCAUGUUUCAAGUGGCACAGAAACCGUAACUCUUUUUUAUUAUCAGUUUCCCACUUCCAUAAUGUUUUAACAUGUUCUCCGGUCACAUGUCGGGUAGGUAGGUUUAAGUUUUCACAAUAUGAUGCAGGUAGUAUUAUAGGUUUGUUUAACAUUGAAUUCUUCAAGUUUUUUAAAAGGUGGCAAACAUCUGGUACUAUAAAAAUAGUUGAUUCAUCAAAUAUGAAAUAAUUUUGCCUAACACCCUCCCGUUGAACUUUAACAUCAAGUUUAUUCCACAGACUACGAUUUUCUGGACCCAUAUCAGACCCAUACGAGAUCACAUGUAAUCCAGCAUUUUUACACGCAGACAAGCAUUCAUUAAUAAAUUGUUUCAUAGCAAGUCCAUCCACUGUGGUCCCUGUAAUAUGACAUCCAAUAACUUGCUUCCAUUUUGAUUUUAUACCACGGAUAACAGCCAAUAAAAGUUUACUUCCUGUUUCCCCUUUUUCACUAUCUCCAAGAGUACAAUAACCCCCAACUUCUGCAGUAUUUUUAUUAUAUGUAAGCUGUUUGCUGAUUUCCAUUGAAUCCGUUGAUAAAAAACGUAGUCUGUCAGAAAGAUCCAUUUCACUUACUUUAAAUUGUAAGGUUUCCAAAAUGUCAUUGAAAACACCAAAAGACAAUUUUAAAUGACAGACACGAUAAACGAGGGUGUUAUAGCAUGGUAAAGGGAAAUUAUUAUUUCGAAGAUAAUUAUAACCAUGAAUACCAAGUGCAUAUCUUAACUUUAGAGCUUUAACAAUUGUAUCUUUGCUCCAUUUCCUAAUAGGGUUCUCUAAUGAUUUCAGCUGUUCAUCACUUACAAAACUUUGAAUACUGUCUAAUAAUUUUUGUUUAUUUGACACUUCUUCUUGAAGUAUUUUGAUUUCAGCUUCUAAUUCUUUAAUUUUAUUUUUAUUUGAUGAACACUGAUUACACUGUGAAAAUAAAAUAAAUAUAUUGCUAAUAUAUAGUCUUGUUAAGAAUACUUUUCAAAUGUAUUCAGUAUACGUAUUUAAAUACUUGGUGUAAUUUGUAUUCAAAAUAAUUAAACAAAUAAUUAAUUUUAAGUUCAACAACAUUAAUACCAAUAUCAUUUAUUAAAAUUAUUAACUACUACAACACAUAUUAAUUAUUGAUAAAUUUAGUAUUAUAAAUAUGUAUUAUUUAACUAAACAAUUUUUUACACAAUACUACAUUAUAAUAUUAUAUUAUAUAUACAAAGAAAAAAUAUGUACUUAUAUAUACUGAUAUUUUAUUUAUGUGAAAAUUUGUAUUGAAAAUUGUAAUCUUUUAAUUUUAUAUUUAGUAAUUAUUGAAUUUAUAUUUUAAAUUUUGAACUCAUGGGCCCCCACACAGACAUGUUCAGUGGGGCACAUUAUCUUCUUGAAUAAAUAAAAAUAAAUAAAUAUAUAUUA